CGGGGGGGUCGUCUUUGGGGUUCUCAGCAGCUAGAAGGCCGCCAUAUCGAUAUGAUGAGAGAAUGGAGGAAAGAGGAGAGUGGAGAAUGAGGUGGCAGUCUCAGCUUGAUGAGUUGAAGAGGAGGAGGAGCAUGAAGCCGUCCAGAUCAGGGAGAAUGUCUUGGGGUGCUCCAAUGCCAGAUCAAAUAUAAUUGAUUUUUUCUUUCUUUUUGGGGGAAGGCGGUGGCAUUUAAAUAAUAGUUUAGGUUUAAUCUAACUAUAUAUAGGAUGUAUUAAAUGUAAUUUUAUAGAGUAGACCCGUUUUUCGAUUCGUAUAUUUGCGAAUUUUUUUAUUUUAAAUCUUAUUAAAAUUUUUAUUUCAAUUAAUACACACACCAUCCUGGUGCAUCUUAUGUACCGGAGAGCCAUUUAUUUUGUUCA